CCAAAUAUAAAGAUUAAAACUUUUUUUAGAA
rnacentral:tRNA from 4 species